rnacentral:rRNA from 2 species
UAACAUGCAAGUCGAACGAACUCUGGUAUUGAUUGGUGCUUGCAUCAUGAUUUACAUUUGAGUGAGUGGCGAACUGGUGAGUAACACGUGGGAAACCUGCCCAGAAGCGGGGGAUAACACCUGGAAACAGAUGCUAAUACCGCAUAACAACUUGGACCGCAUGGUCCGAGUUUGAAAGAUGGCUUCGGCUAUCACUUUUGGAUGGUCCCGCGGCGUAUUAGCUAGAUGGUGGGGUAACGGCUCACCAUGGCAAUGAUACGUAGCCGACCUGAGAGGGUAAUCGGCCACAUUGGGACUGAGACACGGCCCAAACUCCUACGGGAGGCAGCAGUAGGGAAUCUUCCACAAUGGACGAAAGUCUGAUGGAGCAACGCCGCGUGAGUGAAGAAGGGUUUCGGCUCGUAAAACUCUGUUGUUAAAGAAGAACAUAUCUGAGAGUAACUGUUCAGGUAUUGACGGUAUUUAACCAGAAAGCCACGGCUAACUACGUGCCAGCAGCCGCGGUAAUACGUAGGUGGCAAGCGUUGUCCGGAUUUAUUGGGCGUAAAGCGAGCGCAGGCGGUUUUUUAAGUCUGAUGUGAAAGCCUUCGGCUCAACCGAAGAAGUGCAUCGGAAACUGGGAAACUUGAGUGCAGAAGAGGACAGUGGAACUCCAUGUGUAGCGGUGAAAUGCGUAGAUAUAUGGAAGAACACCAGUGGCGAAGGCGGCUGUCUGGUCUGUAACUGACGCUGAGGCUCGAAAGUAUGGGUAGCAAACAGGAUUAGAUACCCUGGUAGUCCAUACCGUAAACGAUGAAUGCUAAGUGUUGGAGGGUUUCCGCCCUUCAGUGCUGCAGCUAACGCAUUAAGCAUUCCGCCUGGGGAGUACGGCCGCAAGGCUGAAACUCAAAGGAAUUGACGGGGGCCCGCACAAGCGGUGGAGCAUGUGGUUUAAUUCGAAGCUACGCGAAGAACCUUACCAGGUCUUGACAUACUAUGCAAAUCUAAGAGAUUAGACGUUCCCUUCGGGGACAUGGAUACAGGUGGUGCAUGGUUGUCGUCAGCUCGUGUCGUGAGAUGUUGGGUUAAGUCCCGCAACGAGCGCAACCCUUAUUAUCAGUUGCCAGCAUUAAGUUGGGCACUCUGGUGAGACUGCCGGUGACAAACCGGAGGAAGGUGGGGAUGACGUCAAAUCAUCAUGCCCCUUAUGACCUGGGCUACACACGUGCUACAAUGGAUGGUACAACGAGUUGCGAACUCGCGAGAGUAAGCUAAUCUCUUAAAGCCAUUCUCAGUUCGGAUUGUAGGCUGCAACUCGCCUACAUGAAGUCGGAAUCGCUAGUAAUCGCGGAUCAGCAUGCCGCGGUGAAUACGUUCCCGGGCCUUGUACACACCGCCCGUCACACCAUGAGAGUUUGUAACACCCAAAGUCGGUGGGGUAACCUUUUAGGAACCAGCCGCCUAAGGUGGGACAGAUGAUUAGGG